GUGUGAAUGCCACCAUGAUAUCUGACUGCAGAUAUCAAAUUCUGCAAGAACCAUCCUGUCCUGGCAUUUCCUUCAGAUAAUUUAAGCAGCCCAGAAUGUGAUGUUGGUGUUUCCUCCCAUGCUCCCAUGCUGCUACUCACACAAGG